rnacentral:rRNA from 1 species
GAUUGAACGCUGGCGGCAUGCUUUACACAUGCAAGUCGAACGGCAGCACAGAGAAGCUUGCUUCUUGGGUGGCGAGUGGCGAACGGGUGAGUAAUAUAUCGGAACGUACCGAGUAAUGGGGGAUAACUAAUCGAAAGAUUAGCUAAUACCGCAUAUUCUCUGAGGAGGAAAGCAGGGGACCUUCGGGCCUUGCGUUAUUCGAGCGGCCGAUAUCUGAUUAGCUAGUUGGUGGGGUAAAGGCCUACCAAGGCGACGAUCAGUAGCGGGUCUGAGAGGAUGAUCCGCCACACUGGGACUGAGACACGGCCCAGACUCCUACGGGAGGCAGCAGUGGGGAAUUUUGGACAAUGGGCGCAAGCCUGAUCCAGCCAUGCCGCGUGUCUGAAGAAGGCCUUCGGGUUGUAAAGGACUUUUGUCAGGGAAGAAAAGGAUAGGGUUAAUACCCCUGUCUGAUGACGGUACCUGAAGAAUAAGCACCGGCUAACUACGUGCCAGCAGCCGCGGUAAUACGUAGGGUGCGAGCGUUAAUCGGAAUUACUGGGCGUAAAGCGAGCGCAGACGGUUACUUAAGCAGGAUGUGAAAUCCCCGGGCUCAACCUGGGAACCGCGUUCUGAACUGGGUGACUAGAGUGUGUCAGAGGGAGGUAGAAUUCCACGUGUAGCAGUGAAAUGCGUAGAGAUGUGGAGGAAUACCGAUGGCGAAGGCAGCCUCCUGGGAUAACACUGACGUUCAUGCUCGAAAGCGUGGGUAGCAAACAGGAUUAGAUACCCUGGUAGUCCACGCCCUAAACGAUGUCAAUUAGCUGUUGGGCAACUUGAUUGCUUAGUAGCGUAGCUAACGCGUGAAAUUGACCGCCUGGGGAGUACGGUCGCAAGAUUAAAACUCAA